rnacentral:misc_RNA from 1 species
CUGAGUGAGGGCCCUCUGGGUCCAACCUCCCACCCGUGUUUAAUUGUACCUUGUUGCUUCGGUGCGCCCGCCUCACGGCCGCCGGGGGGCUUCUGCCCCCGGGCCCGCGCGCACCGGAGACACCUCUGAACUCUGUAUGAAGUUUGCAGUCUGAGCGAAAACUAAAUAAGUUA